UGUGUUAGGUGGGGGCCUGCAUUAUUGAAGACCAUGCGUGCCUUGUCAAAGGGAAAUAAGGUCAGCAUGCACGUGGGGAGGCUGGGCCGGGCGGACAGUCGAUUCGGGCUUGUCUGAGGUUCACAGCACCAUUCACGUCCUCUUGCUGAAGGGUCCCAGGCAGACCACGGGGCCCCCGACACAGUCCAACUGCUCCCCACAGACUACCUUGGGUUCAGGCUCUACGCGUCAUGUUAACUCUGCAUCCACAGGCUCUAGUCCCUUAAAACAAGCCACAUGGAAUUUGCACAGGAUCCUGGAAGAGGAGUCGGGAUUCUUGGGCAACUAUCCAGGCCUGCGGCUUCCUGGUUGGAUGGCCUUGGGAAUUUCUUCUACCUGCGUCUGUCCCUGCCGGGUCACGCUCCUCACGGGACUUGUUGGGCUCUGGCUCCAGGCCUUCUAAGCCUGAACACUUGACUGUCUUCAGGAUCCCUACUUCUGCGGCUCCCACAGGACAGUCUCUGGAUUCCCCUGGCAGGAUUCCCUGUUCCCAGCCAGCCGUGGCUCCUUCGUCACUCAGUCACCAGCCACUGCCCCACCUUCCCUGCCCCUCUGCCCCCCAUUGCUCCAGCCCAGUUCAUUAUCUGGACCUUUUCUACUUUUCACCCUCCACUGAUUUGCAGCAGGUUCCAAUUAAUAAUUUUAAACGGUCACCAAUUUUCCCUGAGCCUCAGGCAAUAAUGGAGAUUUAGGUCUAAAUUAAAAUUUGCUAAUUUAGAAACAUUUGCCCACUAAUCGCUGCUGAAGCCCUACGACUUGGCAGGCUUGUAACUCACCGCUGUCCCUUUCCUGGUCUGAUCUCUCUGUCUCUGGAGGGGUUAACUCAGUGCUUCUCAAUCCAGGUGAUUUUGCCUCCAGGGGAUGUUAGACAAUGACUGGACACACUUUGGGUUGUUACUACUUGGGGAGGGGAAAUGCUACUGGCCUUAGUGGGUAGAGGCCUGGGAUACAGCUAAACAUCCCACAAUGCACAGGAAAAGUCCCCACAACAGAGAAUUCUCUGGCUCAAAAUGUCAAUUAUGCUGAGGCUGAGAAACCCGAAUAUAGAACGUUCCUGGGCUUCUCCCCCAGAAACCUUUCCUUGCACAGUCCUGCAUUCUCUAGAGCAGGACUCGAAGGUUUUGUUUCUUACUUACAAGUGCAAAAUUAUCUUCUUAGUUGUUCGAGAUCUGUUUUCUUUGUUUAUUUUAAUGGAUCCAAUACUCAAACUCAGAAGAUUUUGCCAGGAAAUCUGUAUUCACAGCUUGUGCUGGAAGAUGGGGGAUCUUUUCACACUGGUCUCCAGUUCCCAGGUGGCAACAUCCAGUGGGAGGUACCAGCUCCCCAUAGCCUUGUACAUGGGGCAUUACCUAUCUGGUCACCAGUCUCCGCCAUUCCCUGUUGCUGUUUGACCUUGAGUAUCAGUUGCCACUUAUUACCAUGCUUGCUCUGCUGUUUUCUCAUAGCAGAGAAACACAUGUGUUCCAAUCCUGAACCAAAAGUGCGAAAAUCGCAGGUAGACUGGGUUGUACCCACAUCCGUCUCUCAUUUUUGUCGUCUACUUUGUUUCUGGGCAUUUGACUGUGCACUUCUUGCUCCAGAUGGCUCCUGCUGAGCAUGGGAGUGACCCUUGACUCCUGUAGAGUCCCUCCCAGGCCCAGCCCUGCAGAUUCACAAGAGGCCAGCAGGGUGAGUGGAAGGUAAUUCUCGUGUUCCUUUUAAGCUUCCUGCUGGGAGGUGGGGCUCCUGUGGAUUGGGGUUCCCAGUGGCUCCACAUCAAACACUCCCCAUGGAGCUCUAGAGAGAGCUGCAGAGCAGGCCUCGGUCACUCAGCCCGAGGGAGCCCUAUCCCCACCCCAUUUCCUAACACAGCGUUGGUGAAUUGGUCCACGAGCUAAGGCAGGCUUGCUGCCUGCUUUGUCAAUAAAGUUUUAUUGGUGGAUAGUCAUUGCCAUUCACUCA